GAUGAACGCUGGCGGCGUGCCUAAUACAUGCAAGUCGAGCGAACGGACGAGAAGCUUGCUUCUCUGAUGUUAGCGGCGGACGGGUGAGUAACACGUGGAUAACCUACCUAUAAGACUGGGAUAACUUCGGGAAACCGGAGCUAAUACCGGAUAAUAUUUUGAACCGCAUUGUUCAAAAGUGAAAGACGGUCUUGCUGUCACUUAUAGAUGGAUCCGCGCUGCAUUAGCUAGUUGGUAAGGUAACGGCUUACCAAGGCAACGAUGCAUAGCCGACCUGAGAGGGUGAUCGGCCACACUGGAACUGAGACACGGUCCAGACUCCUACGGGAGGCAGCAGUAGGGAAUCUUCCGCAAUGGGCGAAAGCCUGACGGAGCAACGCCGCGUGAGUGAUGAAGGUCUUCGGAUCGUAAAACUCUGUUAUUAGGGAAGAACAUAUGUGUAAGUAACUGUGCACAUCUUGACGGUACCUAAUCAGAAAGCCACGGCUAACUACGUG
rnacentral:rRNA from 1 species